GUUGCUUCAGUGAACAUUCAACGCUGUCGGUGAGUUUGGAAUUAAAGUGAAAACCAUCGACCGUUGAUUGUACCCUCCAGCUAACCAUCA
ensembl:miRNA